rnacentral:rRNA from 1 species
CCGAGCCCCAGUCCUGGCUCUCGGGUCAGGCGGGGCGCUUUUAUUGGCUGAAAACCGAUGAUCGCCCUCGUGGCGGUCGUUAUUCGAUGAAUCACAAUAACAUUGUGUGGAUCGUAUGGUCUUGUACCGACGACGCGCCUUUCAAAUAUCUGCCUUAUCAGCUCUCGACGGUUUGCUAGUGGCUGACCGUGGCUCUGACGGGUAACGGGGAAUCUGGGUUCGGUUCCGGAGAGGGAGCCUGAGAGAUGGCUACCACAUCUAAGGAAGGCAGCAGGCGCGUAACUUACCCACUCCCAGUUCAGGGAGGUAGUGACAAUAAAUACCUUACAGAGGUCUCGUUAACCGAGAUCUCUCAAACGGAAUGAGUACAACGUGAAUCCUUUAACGAGGAUCGACUGGAGGGCAAGCCUGGUGCCAGCAGCCGCGGUAAUUCCAGCUCCAGUAGCGUAUAUUAAAGCUGUUGCGGUUAAAAAGCUCGUAGUUGGAUAUCAGUGCGUGUCCGGUCCGGUAUGCCUGGCGCUGUCGCUCACGCGGCAAUGCUGGGCUCCCAAAUAUCGGCUGGCCGCAUUCAAUCGUGCCGGAUCCGUCGACGGGCCGUUCUUCGGAGGGGCCUGUUGGCGACCGGCGACGUUACCUUGAACAAAUUAGAGUGCUCAAAGCAGGCUCUGAAUGCCUGUAUACAUAUUCAUGGAAUUGGAGAAUACGUCCCUGGCUCGAUUUGGUUGGUUUUGAGAGUCGAAGGGAAAUGAUUAAUAGGGACUGACGGAGGCAUUCGUAUUGCGACGCGAGGGGUGAAAUCCUGUGACCGUCGCACGACGAACUACUGCGAAAGCAUUUGCCGAGAAUGUUUUCAUUAGUCAAGAACGAAAGUUAGAGGUUCGAAGGCGAUCAGAUACCGCCCUAGUUCUAACCGUAAACGAUGUCGACCAGCAAUCCGCAACGGUCACUACACGGACUGUGCGGGCAGCUUCCCCGGGGAAACCAGAGUUUUUGGACUCCGGGGGAAGUAUGGUUGCAAAGCUGAAACUUAAAGGAAUUGACGGAAGGGCACCACCAGGAGUGGAGCUUGCGGCUUAAUUUGACUCAACACGGGACAACUCACCAGGCCCGGACACCGUAAGGAUUGACAGACUGAUAGCUCUCUCUUGAUUCAGUGGGUGGUGGUGCAUGGCCGUUCUUAGUUGGUGGAGUGAUUUGUCUGGUUUAUUCCGAUAACGAACGAGACUCUGGCCUAUUAAACUUGACGCUGUCAGUCUCAUGUGACUGCGGCGCGCUUCUUAGAGGGAUCAUCGGCGUCCCAGCCGAAGGAAAGGGAGCAAUAACAGGUCUGUGAUGCCCUUAGAUGUUCUGGGCUGCACGCGUGUUACACUGAAGUGGUCAGCGCGCCGUUCAACGUCCCUCUCCGUGAGGAGCGGGCAAACGUUUGAACCCUUUUCGUGAUGGGAAUUGGGGGUUGCAAUUGUCCCCCAUGAACGAGGAAUUCCAAGUAAGCGCAAGUCAUUAGCUUGCGUU